rnacentral:rRNA from 1 species
UAAUACUAGCGGUCCAAGUCGCAGCCAUUUUUAUUGGGUCUAAAACAUCCGUAGCUUGUUUAGUAAGUUUCCUGUGAAAUCCUGUCUCUCAAGGAUAGGGCGAGCAAGAAGUACUGCUGAACUAGAGACCGGAAGACGUGGGAAGUACGUUCGAAGUAGCGGUUAAAUGUUUUAAUCUCGAACGGACUCACAAUAGCGAAGGCAUCCCACGAGGACGGUUCUGACAGUAAGGGAUGAAAGCUAGGGGCGCAAACAGGAUUAGAUACCCUGGUAGUCCUAGCUGUAAACACUGCACACUAAACAUCAGUACCUCCUCGAGAGGUAUUGGUGCUGCAGGGAAGCCGAAGAGUGUGCUACCUGGGAAGUAUAGUCGCAAGGCCG